rnacentral:tRNA from 1 species
GGUCCCGUAGUGGAGCGGUUUAACACGCCUGUCUGUCACGCAGGAGAUCGCGGGUUCGAUUCCCGUCGGGACCGCCA